rnacentral:lncRNA from 1 species
AACAUUCCAUAAGCUAAUCAGCAGCAACACUUAGAGCAUAAAGCUCAAACUUCUCAUUCUGUCAACCAUAUUAAAUAAUCAAAUGAGACAACGAAGGAAGUAGUGCAUCAAAUAUUCAACAUUCUGUCAAAGUCUUCAAUAUUAACCAAAAGGAAUUCAAGCAAUCCAAAGGUUGAAAAAGAACAACAAGAAAUGCGAAUUUCCAGCAAUUGAAAUGCCAUUAAGACUCUCGAUUUUCAAGUUAGAGCUGAUGUAACAAGAGCACUCAAUUCAACAAGGAGAAUAUUUUACUCAAUAAGGAGAAUAUUUUAGAAGUAAAAACCAAAUUUCAAACUGUCACUGCGAAACUUGAGCACAAUCUCAACUAACAUAAAUUUCCAACAAAUUUAACUUAAUGUAUGUUCAACCAAAUCACAAUUCAAGCAUGCUCAAUCUCUAGUCCCAUAGAAUCCCCUCCAUUAUUCUCAACAAUAAUAACAACUAUUAGAAAUCAGUGGUAACAAGUUUAAACUAGGAGAAUUUCAGCUAUCAAUUUACUCCAAAAACUUCACAAAAGUGACAAAUUUCAAUAAGAUAAGCUUCAGAACUCCAUAGUCUUAGCACAAAGAUAAUUGGUAUUUAAUGCAGGAUUUUCUUUCAAACAUUGGCCCAUGAAAAAUUCAUAGAUUGAAUUAAAAUCACCAAACAAUACUCCAACAAAUAAAGAAUGAUCUCAACAGAACUUUCGCCAGCAUAAAAGAAGUUUGACAAGAGAAUUCCAACUUGACUCUAAGAAUUUCAAUAGUAGAGUCCAUUGACACAACUCAAUUCACACAAUUUCCAACAAACAUCUUCUGAAUUCUAAAACUAACAUAUGUGACUAAAAGUGGAUAGAAGUACAAUAUUUGGUUAUGACCCCGCAAAGCCGAGAACCUAAGAUUUACUAGGAAGACCGGACCCUAUGAGGGUUUCCUACAUAUCACGCUCUAAAAGACGAGAAUCAGGUUUGCGUAAUUCAAAUUGAAUGCGGGCAAGAAAUAAAAAAUACACCUAAUUUUUAAAGAAAACAUUUUCUUUUGUCUCUUAUGAAAAGAACAACAAGAGAUGUGAAUUUCCAGCAAUUGAAAUGGCAUUAAGACUCGAUUUUCAAGUUAGUGAUUACAUACCCAAAUUCUCAUUCUAACACAGAUUUAAAAAAACAUACACAAAUGCUCAAACCCAUAAAACCAACUAUAACUAAUAAUAUAUAAAUCUCAAAGCAGACACGCAUAAAAGGUAAAACAUUAAAGCAACAGUGACAUGGAUAGUGACAUAAAUCGGAAAUACUUGAAUCAUAGAGAAAUGAAUUAGAGUAGUGAAAAAGAGAAAGAGCCACCUUAGUUGCUGAAAAUCUUCAAAAACACGUACAUCGCAAAGGAGUAUCUAAACAUAGUUUUCCUCAACCGAACUACAGACCAUAAACUCGAACUGGAAUCGCAACGGCGAACGACUCAACUUAGCCAGAUUCGGGAUAGUGACCUCGAGCUGGUUUUGCAAUAGCAGUCCUCAGCCGAACUACAGACCAUAAACUCGAACCGGAAUCGCAACGGUGAACGACUCAACUUAGCCAGAUUCGGGAUAGUGACCUCGGGCUGGUUUUGCCUUGGUUUUGAGGUGAUGUUUUCAGUGGGAGUUGCAGUGGCUAGCUUCAAGGUGAAGUAAAGAAGACGAAGUUAAGGGGGGUCCGAUUUUUGAGUUGCGGCUAUUUCCAUUUCUGUUCCUAGGCGUCUCUUCGGUGUUUUUCAAAUGGAGAAGAUGACUGAUCUGCUUCUCAAGAUCCUUAGGUUUUUGUUAUGGUUAUUUUUUGGAGAAGACGGAAUCCGAAGAAAAAGAGCAAAGGAAAGCUGCGCUGGGGUAGGGGUGCUUGGAGAAGAGUACGAGGUGGGUCCUUUUUGUAUCGUCAAAGCUGCACUCCUCUAUUCUUUUUCAAUCCCAGACGUUAUUUAUUUUAUGUAUGUAUGUGUAUGGUCGUCAGAUUCUGGUGUGGUGAGGGUGGAUGGUUGCUGGAGUUUUUCAGGCAAGUUUGGUGAUAGUUUAUGGCUGCUGCUUCAUUUUUGAAGAAGACCUGAAACGCAACUCCCUCUCUCUCUCUAUGCGUAUAUCUUCGAGCUUCAUGAAGAAGAAGCAGCGGUCAUGGCGGGCUGCUAGGGUUUGACGGAGAAGAUGAUCAGGGGGUUAUGUCCAACAAUUGUAUAUCUCUCGUGUAGUGUGUAUUAUUAUGUGUUAGGGGUUUUAGGUGGGGAAAUGGGUUUGGGUAUUAGAUUGGAUCACGUCGAUCCGGUUUGGGGUUGGGUAGGGGCUAAUUUGGGUUGGGAUUUAAAAAGGGACACUGUAUUGGGCUUAAAGAAAAUAGAAUUAGAUAUCAGCCCAAAAAUAUGAUUCUCAUCUUUGUUUUCAUAUUUUUCUAAAUUCUUUUAAAUUAAAAUUAAAAAUAACACCUAAAUUAAUUCCUAGUCAAAUUAUUUUAAAAUUAAACUAAUUACUACAACUAAUACUUACUGCAACUAAUUAAAACCAAAUUAAACACAAACUACCAAAAUUCAAAGAUUAAAUUAAAAGUGCAAAAUUAACCAUUUUUUGUGAUUUCUUACUGCAACUAACUAAAACCAAAUUAAACGGAAAACUACCAAAAUUCAAUGAUUAAAAAUAAAAGUGCAAAAUUAAUCAUUUUUUUAUUAUUAUUAUGUUUUUUUACACAAUUAACUCAAUCUAAUUAAUUCCUAAAUUCUAAUCUAACCUAAGGUAGCAUAAAACUAAAACGUGAUAUUUCUGUAGUUUUUCUAUGAGUUGAAAAAUAUUAAAAAUGCAUGAAAUGCACCUAAAAUAAAGAAAAAUUCCUAAAAUUAAUAAAUAAUUAUAUUGGUCUAUUUUUUAGGAGUUAUUCUCAUGUUGGAAAAAAUCACGUGCUCACAGCUACCCCUCCUUGCUCGGAAACCAGAAGGGUUUUCGUGCAAAGAUAAAGUGAGCAGAUACGAAUGAUUUUUGCCCGUUUGGAUACCCCAUGGGAAGCAUUUUUGAAAGAUUUGACCGCACCCUGCUUCUGAGGUUGCCUACAUAUCCUUGGCUAUAAAGGAAUCAGGCCAAUGUAGUUCAGGAGUGUGUGAGAUAAAGGAAUAUGCCAAGUUGAAGAUCCGGUCGAGGUGUCGUUCCGUCGAGGUUUCGGUCUGCGGUCCUGUUAUUACAUCAAAAUCAAAAGAAUGAAAAAGACUAGCUAAACCUGUCAACUAGGAGUUACAAGGUUCCCACCUAUAAGUCUUCUGAACCUUGAUCUCGAGUCUUGAGUGGUUCUUCAUUCAGACUUUAGAUUUCAACCUUGAUGCUUGUUAUGUGCAGGUACUAGCUCAUUGUUCUUCAGCUUUUCUUAAUUAAGACCGGACAUGUAUGGCUUGCGACCUUAACCGUGACUUGAGAAAUUCAUAUGUUUCAUCUGCUUUUAUUUGGAUUAACUUCUUGUUUGCCUUCCUUUUUUCUUCUUUUCUUCUUCUUCUUUUUUUCUCUUUUUUUCUUUAUUGUGACUAAUUUUUGUUGAUUACCUCGGACUACUGACUCGCAUUCUUGCCACGAGCUUCUUUUGUUGCUUACUUGAAUUGUAAUCUGAGAUGUUUUCCUGUUCUCCAGGUGGAUGCCUGAUUGUUGAACCCCAAUUGUGUUCCCUUGUUCUCCAGGUGAAGGCCUGAUUACCAAAGCUUGAAUGAAACUAAAAUGUAUUCCUUUGUUCUCCAGGUGGGUGCCUGAUUAUCAAAACUUGACACUUGAAAAAUAUUCCCUUGUUCUACAGGUGGACGCCUGAUUACCAAGACUUGAAUUUUGAAAAGUAUUCCCUUNNNNNNNNNNNNNNNNNNNNNNNNNNNNNNNNNNNNNNNNNNNNNNNNNNNNNNNNNNNNNNNAGUGGGUGCCUGAUUACCAAACUUGCAUCUUGAAAAAUAUUCCCUUGUUCUACAGGUAGGCACCUGAUUACCAAAACUUGAAAUUUGAAAAUAUUCCCUCAUUCUAUAGGUGGGUGCCUGAUUACCAAACUUGUAUCUUGAAAAAUAUUCUCUUGUUCUCCAGGUGGGCACCUGAUUACCAAGACUUGAAUUUUUGAAAAAUAUUCCCUGAUUCUAUAGGUGGGCGCCUCAUUGCCAGAACUUGAAAUUUUGAAAAAUAUUCCCUUGUUCUACAGGUGGGCGCCUGAUUACCGAGACUUGAAUUUUGAAAAAUAUUCCCUUGUUCUUCAGGUGGGCGACUGAUUACCAAAACUUGAAAUUUAAAAAAUAUUCCCUUAUUCUCCAGGUGGGCGCCUGAUUACCAAAACAUGAAAUUUUAAAAGUAUUCCCUUGUUCUAAAGGUGGGCGCCUGAUUACCAAAACUUGAAAUUUUAAAAAAUAUUCCCUUGUUCUACAGGUGGGCGCCUGAUUACCAAAGCUUGAAUGAAACUGAAAGGUAUUCCCUUGUUCUCCAAGUGGGUGCCUCAUUACCAGAACUUGACACUUGAAAAGUAUUUCCUUGUUCUACAGGUGGGCUCCUGAUUACCAAACUUGUAUCUUGGAAAAUAUUCCCUUGUGCUACAUGUGGGUGCCUGAUUACCAAAACUUCAAAUUCUGAAAAGUAUUCCCCGUUCUACAGGUGGGUGCCUGAUUACCAAAACUUAAAAUUUAAAAGAUAUUCCCUUGUUCUCCAGCUGGGCGCCUGAUUACCAAAACAUGAAAUUUGAAAAAUAUUCCCUUGUUCUACAGGUGGGCGCCUGAUUACCAGCACGUGAAAUUUGAAAAAUAUCCCCUUUUCUAUAGUUGGGCGCCUGAUUACCAAGACAUAAAUCUUGAAAAAUAUUCCCUUGUUCUACAGAUGGGCGCCUGAUUUCCAAAAUUUGAAUUUUGAAAGAUAUUCCCUGAGACUAUUGUUUGUGUACCUGAUCACAACAAAACAAACAAAACACAAGAAAUUCUUCCUGCCCCAGUUUGGUGCUGGGCGGAUCCGUGACUGUUAAUCAAAUCCCCUUACCAAAUAUCUCUAAAUCUAAGAUAAGUCCCAUUAUGCAGGAGGGUCCUGACAAUUCUUAACUGAUGACAACUUUAAGAUUAAGAUAUGUUUUCCAAAGGCUUUAUUUUCCACUAUGUCUUGUUAUUCGAGUUAUGUUUGGUGGGGAUCUACUGUGACUAGUGAUUAAAACUACUUCCCAUUAUCCAGGCGGAUCCUGAAAACUCAUAAUUUGAUGACAAAAUGUGUCUGCUUGGGGGGUAGUAUUUAGAGCAAUGUCCCAUUAUCCAGGGGGUCCUGACAACUCCUACGAUUAAAUCACAUUAUCCAGGCGAAUCCUAAUGACUCUUGCUGGGGAAGUAUUUGGGUUUGGCCAUGCCACCUGACUGUUUGUGUUCUAGGCUAAGUGCCAUUUUUCAGGAGGGUCCUGACAACUCUUAACUGAAUCCUACUUCAACAUGAAAGUAAUUUUAUGCCCUUUGCUAUCCAUGAUUACCCCUAACCUUUGAAUGAGUCCCAUUUUCAAGGAGGGUCCUGAGGGUUCUAACUUAAAUGUCAAUUCCAAUUUCUGGGUUUUUCUGCUAGUGAUUAUUGUCCGGGGGGGUUUCUGCGACUCUUACUAUGGGAGGUGUUGGUGUCUGCCCAUGUUACCCGCGCCUGUAUGAGUUUUAAACUGAGUCCUAUUUCAACUUCCACGCCCCCUUUCAACCCUCAAUUUUUUCUAUUGGGGUUUGCUAAUAAAGGUUUGUCCCGAUAUACCCUGGCUGGGGAGAAUAUUUAUGAUGGAUUACGUUCCUUUUGAGCUUUAACUGGGUUUCAUUUUCAGAUGGCCCUGAGGUUUUGAUCGUACCUGCCAUGUGCCUACCUUCCCCUAUGAAUGGCCCCCCUUAAACUGUUCGGGAAUUUUCUUCCCAUGUGUCAAUCAAAGAAAAUUUGUCAGUUUGAAAGCGGCCUCCUCACUGUCGUGUUUCGUUGUGUUCCAAUUUCCAUGUUGAUGAUGAGUUUCCUGAGUUGGUUGGCUAACCCCCAAACCUUUAUGGCUUUACUUUGCUCGCCCACUACUGUGUUACAUUCCUAGCCCUUUUGCCAGAAUUCUUGCACCUUUCCCGAGAUUACCAAGUCNNNNNNNNNNNNNNNNNNNNNNNNNNNNNNNNNNNNNNNNNNNNNNNNNNNNNNNNNNNNNNNNNNNNNNNNNNNNNNNNNNNNNNNNNNNNNNNNNNNNGUCAAUGUAUUAUGCUUGGCUGACCCUCUGACCCUUGUGGCUUUACUCUACUCCCCCAUCCUUGUGUUGCACUUUCGACCCUCUUGCUAGAACUUUUACAUCCUUUCUUGAGGUUGCUGAGUCAACGUAUAACGCUUGGUUAAUCCUUGUGGCCUUUCCUACUUCGUGUUGCGCUUUUGACUUUCUCCAGAAUCCUUGCAUCCAUUCUGAGAUUUCCCGGUCAGUGCGUUAUGCUCGACCGUCCUUCGAGCCUUGUGGCUUUACUUUGCUUCCCAUCUUUGUGUUACAUUUCUUACCCUUUGUCAGAACCCUUACAUCUUUUCUAAGAUUGCUAAGUCAGUUUACUAUGCUUGGCUAACCUUUGCGGUCUUUUCCAUCUUUGUGUUCUCCUCCUUCAGUUGCAAUGGUAACUUUGAUUUCACCUUGAAAGACAUUGCCUGCUUAUUGGCUAACCAAUUUCUCUGUCACCCUUAUCGCAGAAAAUACCCCUUCUCCAUUUAGACCCCAUAUUCUCUAUUCGUUGCAUCAUUUAUGAGCUGACAUCCUCCCAUUCUUUUUGUUUCGCAUGACCCCCCAAAGCACGUCCCUCGCCCCCCACUUCGUAUGCAUGCUGUAAUUCGUUGCACUGCUUAUGAACUAACAUGUUCCCAUCCUUUGAAUUUCACAUGACCCCCUAAUGCACGUCCAUUGCCCCCACUUCGUGUUUAUGCUAUUUUUAUUGACUUAAACCACUGGCCUUGACCUUGAGGUUUGUUGCUCCUUCACUUGUCAUGAUGAUUGAUUUUCAUGUGAAGACCAUGUUUGCCUCUUGACUAACUGCUUCCUUUGUAAAACUUCCUGAACAUACCUCUUCUCAUUCGAAUCCAAUACCUUCUAUCUGUUGCAUUGUUCCUAAACAAACGUCUACCAAACCCUUUUGUUUCACCUGAUCCCCAAAGUAUAUUUACCAACCAUAUUGUAUAUGAUGUUCUUUCCUGACCCAAAUCAAUGGCUCUGACCUUGAGGUCUACUACUUCAUCGCUAGCCAUGAUAACUUCGAUUUCUUCUCGGAACACUUUUGAUCCGUUCACUCUAGCCCUCAUUCUAUUAAAUUGCUCAUGAUUUUAUCUAUACCGAACCUUUGUAUUUCAAACGAAUCCAAAGCAUGUUGAUUGUCACCAGCUCAGUGUGAAUGUUGUUCCUUCCUGACUUAUCCUGCUUUGAUGUGACAAACAGAUCCCAUUUUGUCCAAUUGGAAAGAUGGUGGCAGAUUUUGAAGUCAUUUCUCACUUGUUUUGACCCAACAAACUCAAGAAGAGGGAAUGAACGAAACAAAAGGAACAGAGUAGAGGAUAAUGAAAGGAGAUGAUUCCUAACAAAAAAAAGUAAAAGGUAGAAACCUAUAAAAUGUGGGUACCAACUCUAAUGACCAUGACAUGCACCUACGGCCUAUUUUGUUAAGCAAAUAUGAUGUUCAACUCUUGUUAUACCUCCCAAACCGUGAAGCUAGCCUUCGAUGCUCCGAUUACCCAAUCUGAUUCUUAAUCCUUAUUCGACUCGUAGAGCCCAAAGGGUUUUCACCAUCAAGCCUCUCUCAUUUUGUUCUUUUCUCUCAACUUACAGUGGCCUCAAGGUUCCUGUGAGGGUCUUUACCAAUAAGACUCUCUCAUCUUUUUCAUUUUUAAACAUUUUUUUAUUUCUCUCAGCUCCCGCCACCUUACGGUGCCCGUAUGGGUUUUCACCAAUAAGACACUCAUUUUUAUUAUCUUUCCUGCUUUGACCAGAGUGUUGCCCCUGACAUGAAUCACCUCUACUUGCUCAACUUGGCAUCACUUGAAGACUAAUCAGAAGGUCUUUCUUUGGACCGUAAUGUGGGCUUUAGGAUAGGGUUAAAAAAGAAAGGGUAUCAAAGGCUCAAUACAAUUCAAAUGGGUUUAAAACUACAACAUUCGGAACCAGAUUUCUCGCAACAACUACCAUUUCUGCCUCAGUUUCGUGCUUGGGGGCUUUUGGAUUUUUAUUUUGAUGAGACCGAAUCGUGAGGCUGCCUACGUAUCUUUAAUAGGAAUCAGGUCAAACGUAGUUCAUAAUUCCUUGUUUUUGUUGUUGUUUGUCUGUUUUCCCUUUUUUCUUUCUGUUUUUUUCUUUUUUUGUUUUGUUUUCUUUCUCUUUUCAUUUUCCUUUCCUCUUUUCUCUUUUCUCUUUUCUCUUUUCUUUUCUUGUUUUUCGUUUCUCUUUCUUUUCUUUUGUUUUCAUUCUUUCCAUUCUUUCCGUUCUUUUCCUUUCACUGCCUUCUCGCACUUGCAUUUCUGAUCUUUGUUACUGAUUCCGAAAGAAGGGUAUGAAAGAAAAUAAUUAAAGCUCAAAAGGGUUAGCAAAGAAUAAAAUGUUUAGAUAGCAGAAUAAAAUGUCUUCGCCAUUGCAAUCUUCAAAAUAUGCCAAGACAAGCAAGUACAAUCAGUCAAAGGAAUCAUACAUAAUAUCUCAUGACUGCAUCAGUAUUGAUAGCCAUUUCUACACAUUUUUCUUCCUCAUUUGUCAAAUAUAAUGAACCAUUGGACAACAUUCCAGCUACAACAAAUGGUCCAUGCUAGUUUGGUAAACUUGCUGUUAGGAUUUAUUCAGGUUCUAUCUGCCCGUGGUUCGGGCUUCAAAAGAUCUCAAAGGGUCUAAAUCUAUUCUGCUUUCCCGCAAGUACAUCUAUUGCCUUAUGAGUAAUAUUUUAAGACCGGUCAUGGGGUUAUGCAUGCAUGGCAUAUCAUUAAAGCCAACAAGGAAAAGAAUUGUAAAAAGAAAAGAAUACUAAACCAAAUGAAUAUAUAUAACGGAAAGUAGAAAAUUCCAUUAGACAGAUAGUGAAAGAACUUGGAUGACAAAACAAGUAAAAAGACUGGGGUUAAAACCCUGGAACGAAUCUAGACGACACUAAACAAAACUAGGAUAAAUGAAAGGAUAGAAGGGUUUAAAUCACAAGACAAUAUCCAGAUUACAAACCUGAAAAUAACCCGGACAAUAGAAAUGACAACAAAAUAAAUCACACAAACUCCUCUCUGGCUGACCAAGAAAUGGAGCAUCUUCCCAAUUACCCUUCACGACAUAUUAGCCACUGGGUUCCACAUCAAUAACACUAGGCACUUCACAAGCCUUCAUCACAUUGUUCUUAACACAUUGCUUUUGGGUUCCUUUAGCCGACUCUUUCUGAAGAUCAACCUAUGAUAGCGCUGAAAGCAUAGCAGCACUCGUGCGUCCGAGGCUCCCAGAAGAACUAUCACAUUCCAACAAGUUCAUCUCAUUAUGCACAGGCGAUAGACUUUGGCUAGUGUCUGUUGCAUCCGAAUUUUGCACGACAAUGUCACUUGUAUCAAUAAGCUUCUGAAUUGCUUUCUGUAGACUCCAACACUUCUCUGUGUCAUGCCCCCGGGCAUCUGAGCAGUAUGAGCACCUUUGAGAAAUAUCAAACUUCUUUGAUAGAGGGUGUGACGUUUUUAUCUGAAUCGGCUUCAACAUGUCCAAUUGCUUCAACCCUUGGAACAAACUGGCAUAUGAUACUCCAAUGGGGGUGAAAGCCUUUUCUUUUUUCAGUAACCUCUCAUUCUUACAUGCUUGGGUGGGCUGGAAACCUGAUCCAGAAGGUUUUUGGUAUGCUCGUGGGGGCGGGCAGGCAUUCUGUGGAGCUAGUGAUGUACGAUUUUGGGAGUUCUCUUAAGAGAAGCAGUGUUGGGGAGGAUCAUCUGGUACGAAAGGAUAUCCACGAGGACGAUGUUGAGGCUGGAAAUGUUGAUCAUCUUUUCUAUUUCUCUUUCUUCCGCCGAAGCUUACUUGGAUGUUCUGAAUAUCUUUCGAACCACUCAUGAUUUUGCUCUAUUUCUCUUUCUUCCGCCGAAGCUUACUUGGAUGUUCUGAAUGUCUUUCGAACCACUCAUGAUUUUGCUUGACUUGAUUCCCUCUUCUAAUUUCUCCCCCAUUUUUAACACAUCAUUGGAAGGUUCUGCCAAGGCCGGGGCCAAUGACUAAAGUAGGUGGGCUCAUGGGCUUGUAGGAAAAGGUCAUCCAUUUCUUGUUUACCAAUCGAGGUAUUUACUCGAGUAGCUUGCACCCUCCAUCUGAGCCCAAACUCCCUAAAGCUCUCCUCUGGUUUCUUUUUCAUUUUAGAUAGUGAAGAGCGGUCUGGGAUAAUACUUGACUUGUAUUGAAAGUAUCAAACAAAAUCUUGAGCCAUGUCACCUAAUGUAGGCUAUUUAUCGACAUCUUGAUAAGUAUACCAGUCCAAUGCUGCCCCAGUAAGGAUCUUGAUGAAAUAUGCUAUCAACAGGUCAUCUUUAUCUCUAACGCCUCUCAUUUCACUGCAAUAAACCAUCAGGUGGGCUACCGGAUCGCCACACCCACCGUAUAAGUUAAGUUUUGGCACUUUGAACCCUAUAGGUAGGCGAACGUUAGGGGAUACAAAAAGUUCUUUGCAAGCCAUAUUACACUGGUCUCCCAUUCCUUGCUUGUUCUUCAAGGACUGUCUUAUACCUUCCAGCCUCUGGGGUAUUCCAUUCCGCCCUUCUUUUCCUAUGAAUUUUUCAUUCCCAACAUGAGGCUCAUCCUGCAGGCUUUGCUUGUACGAGUCAGGAACCUUGUGGGCCACCUCUGCGAGAUAGUAUUGGAUAUCAUGAGCUCUAGUAAAUAUUCAUUGUUAGGGAUUGUUGGAGGGCAAGAAAUGGAGCUACUGGGGUGGUUGGGAAAACUAUAGUAAGCGGGUACAUCUGGAGGGUAUGAAGGAUCUUUCAAAACCAUGAUCGGAGUUUGGAGAAGGAUGGAAUCUAAGCAGCUGGGUGGUGGCGGGGGUGCUGCUGUCCCAGUCAUCCAAGCCUGCUGACGGAGCUACUGGGGUGGUUGGAAAAAUUGUAGUAAGCGGGUGCAUCUAGAGUAUGGAGGAUCAUUUAAAACCACGAUCGGAGUUUGUAGAAGGGUAGCAUCUAAGCAGCUGGGUGGUAGCGGGGGUGGUGUUGUCCCGGUCAUCCAAGCAUGAUACAUUUCUGCCAUGUGUUGUCUCAACCUUUGUACCUCUUCAAUUAACCCACUGUUCUGCUCAACCAACUGCUUUCGAGCCCCGGUAUCGACCAACUCAGUUCUAUCGUUGUUGUCUGUGUUGCCUUUGACUUUGUGUUGUAGAGGAGACUUACUACUUUAAAAACCAAAAACCAACCACCCUUCUUUUUUAGUAUAACAAAAUGAAGCUAUCAUGGUAGCGUUAGGGCAUUAAACAACUAAAAUAUCACAUUGCGUGCAAUGCACCAGUCACAGUUACCGGUUCUAACAUGACUUCAAGGGUAUAAAGGUCAUAUGGUAUCAUCCCAUUUUGUUCAUUUCAACCUCUCUGUUUCUUUGCUUUUCUGGAACUUGCCUGAUCAUUUUCCUUUCUCUUUUUUUAUUUAUCACUCUUUCCUUUCCUCUAAUUUUCAUGUUCCAUAAUUACACCAUUUUUUCUUUUUUUUUCUUUCUCUUUUUUUUUCGAUUUUUAUCUUUAUCUCUUUUUGUUUCUAUAAAACAAAAUGAUUCGAUCAAACCCUAUGUAGGUUGCCUACGUAUCAUGACCACGCAUGAAUCAGAUCUUUGCGUAGUUUUGAAAGAUCGAGAAUUAAGCAAAUAAACUAACUCAUUGUUGUUUAUUUUUAUACAACUCAAACCAUGAAAGCUCUAAAAACACAUUUUUUCUUUUCCUUUUUUUGAAAAUCGUCUUGAAACUAUUUCAAUACCACCAAAACCAUAUGAUACUAAGCAACAAAGAUACAAAUCCGACCUUAUCUCGCUCUUGACCCUUUUUAAAGAUAAGCUACUAGGUGGCGGCCAAGUCAUUUACAAAAGAUGGUCACACAUGCAAAAGCUGAUCAAUUCUGCAAUUCUGGAUAGCCUCAAAUGACAAUGUUGCAGCCUCAAUUCACCUCAAACAAUUUUCAUAAACAUUUGUAAACCUCAACAAAUCACCCAAAAAGUAGCAAUCCCAAAAAAACAAAUCUUUGUCUUUUCAUUCUUUACUUCAUGCUUUCUCUUCUUCUUUUUCAUCAUUUUUUAAUUUGCUUUAAGGAUGAUCCAAAGUAACAAAAACUAAAUACUAAAUACUACUAAAUAACAAUAGCAAAAAUCAGCCAGAAAAAUAUAGUAAAUAUAUUAAAAACAAUUAACUACUAACAUUACUAAGUAUUCCCUAAAGCCUACAACUAAAAAAAUUAUUAUACUAGAUAAGAUUAUAUUUUGGGAACUCUACUUUCUUUGUUCAUGAAAAUAAAGUUAAUACUCUAAAAAAUGUAACUCUUUUGUAGUUUUUUUCCUAAUUUUGUUUAUAAACCAACUACAAAGUGAAAUAAAGACUAAAAUAUCGAGAUUAAACUUAAUAAAUAUAUUACAUGCUAAAAUGUGACUGAAAAUCCAAAUAAUACGGUUGUAACUUGACUGCUAAUUGAAACUCAGCAACUAUGCAGGAUCAAACUCAAAAUGUAAUUAAAAUUCUGAACCAAGCACAAAAUUGUGCUACAAACAACUCUACAGAUUUACAUUUAUAGCCUGUUGGACCAACUGACACCAAACUAAACUAGCAGCAACAAACAAGGUAACUUCAAGCAAUAUUUUCAGCUUGUAAUUCCCUAUUAAUUGAAUCACCAAAACAUUUGUAAUCAACUGAAUUCAACUGUGCAGAAAAAUCAGCUUGCACUCAUUUCAGCUUGUAAUUCCCUGUUAACUCAAUCACCAAAACAUUUGUAAUCAACUGAAUUCAACUGUGUAGAAAAAUCAGCUUGCACUCACUAUACACUGGUGCAAAAAGUGCAAAUUUUCAAGGUUGUUUCAACAACUUUCAAUAGCAGUCCAAAACACUCUUAUUUGAGUUCAAAGUUCUUCAAACAAGCUCUAAUGUCCACACUCAGUUUAAGGUUUACAAAAUAUUGUAGAAAAAUAUAAAAAAUGCUUAGGAAACUUGUAUUACAUCAACAGAUUUCAUUUAAAUGCAAAAUUCUAAGAUUCGAACAAGCUGGCAGGUUCGCUACUCCAUUGCUUCUCAAAACUCAGAACUUCAGCAACAGCUUGAGCACUAAAUUCAGCAGCAGUAGGCACAGGAAUUUUCAGCUCAGAACGACGACCUCAAUAGUAGAAAUAAAGCAUUGGAAUCACAGUAAUAUUGAGUCAGAAUAACCACUAAGUACAGCUGAAUAGUGCAGGAUCUGCUUUCAAGAAAAAAACAGCUCAAAACUUGCAUUUCAAUAGUGUAUUGUUGGCAUAUAAACUGAAGCAACGCAAUUGAGUUAAUUGAAACCAAACCUUUUGCAAAAUUACCUCAACUGUUAUGAAAAAAAUAGUAACAACAAUCAAUUAAAGAAAUGUGUAAAUCUCCAUCGUUGAGCGAAAAAUGAACAAUGCAGGGCUGUAGACAGCAGCAACAAUCAAUUAAAGAAAUGUGUAAAUCUUCAUUGUUGAGCAAAAAUGAACAAUGUAGGGCUGUGGACAGCAAGUUGAAAUCCUUUACAACGACAGAAAACAAGCAGCAAAUUAUUUUCAAGCAAACAUACAACUUUUGUCAGCAGAUUCUAACCAAUUGGACAAUAAUUUAUGUAACAAGAGAACUCAAUUCAUCAAGGAGAACAUUUUAGAAGUAAAAACCAGAUUUCAAACUAUCUCUGCGAAACUUGAGCACAAUCUCAACUAACAUAAAUUUCCAACAGAUUUAGCUUACUGUAUGUUCAACCAAAUAACAAUUCAAGCAAGCUCAAUCUCUAGUCCCACAUAAUCCCCUCUAUUAUACUCAACAAUAAUAACAACUAUUAGAAAUCAGUGGUAACAAGUUCAAACUAGGAGAAUUUCAGCUAUCAAUUUACUCCAAAAACAUCACAAAAGGGACAAACUUCAAUAAGACAAACUUCAGAACUCCAUAGUCUUAGCACAAAGAUAAUUGGUAUUUAGUGCAGGAUUUUCUUUCAAACAUUGGCCCAUGAAAAAUUCAUAGAUUGAAUUAAAAUCAACAAACAAAGAAUGAUCUCAACAGAACUUUCGCCAGCAUAAAAGAAGUUUGACAAGAGAAUUCCAACUUGAACUCUAAGAAUUUCAAUAGUAGAGUCCAUUGAAACAACUCAAUUCAAACAAUUUUCAACGAACAACUUCUGAAUUCUAAAACUAACAUAUGUGGCUAAAAGUGGAUAGAAGUACAAUAUUUGGCUAUGAUCCCGCAAAGCCGAGAACCUAAGAUUUACUAGGAAGACCGGACCAUAUGAGGGUUGCCUACGUAUCACGCUCUGAAAGACGAGAAUCAGGUUUGCGUAGUUCGGACAGAUUGAAUGCGGGCAAGAAACAAAAAAUACACCUAAUUUUUAAAGAAAAUAUUUUCUUUUGUAUCUUAUGAAAAGAACAACAAGAGAUGCGAAUUUCCAGCAAUUGAAAUGCCAUUAAGACUCUCGAUUUUCAAGUUAGUGAUUAUAUACCCAAAUUCUCAUUCUAACACAGAUUUAAAAAAACAUACAUAAAUGCUCAAACUCAUAAUACCAACUAUAACUAAUAAUAUAUAAAACUCAAAGCAGACACGCAUGUAAAACAUUAAAGCAACAGUGACAUGGAUAGUGACAUAAAUCGGAAAUACUUGAAUCAUAGAGAAAUGAAUUAGAGUAGUGAAAAAGCGAAAGAGCCACCCUAGUUGCUGAAAAUCUUCAAAAACACGUACAUCGCAAAGGAGUAUCUUAAAAUAGCAGUCCUCAACCGAACUACAGACCAUAAACUCGAACCGGAAUCGCAACGGCGAACGACUCAACUUAGCCAGAUUCGAGAUAGUGACCUCGGGCUGGUUUUGCCUUGAUUUUGAGGUGAUGUUUUCAGUGGGAGUUGCAGUGGCUAGCUUCAAGGUGAAGUAAAGAAGACGAAGUUAAGGGGGGUCCGAUUUUUGAGUUGCGGCUAUUUCCAUUUCUGUUCCUAGGCGUCUCUUCGGUGUUUUUCAAAUGGAGAAGAUGACUGAUCUGCUUCUCAAGAUCCUUAGCUUUUUGUUAUGGUUGCUUUUUGGAGAAGACGGAAUCCGAAGAAAAAGAGCAAAGGAAAGCUGCGCUGGGGUAGGGGUGCUUGGAGAAGACGACGAGGGGGGGUCCUUUUUGGAGAAGACGUUAUUUUUUUUUUAUGUAUGUAUGUGUAUGGUCAUCAGAUUCUGGCGUGGUGAGGGUGGAUGGUUGCUGGAGUUUUUUAGGCGAGUUUGGUGAUAGUUUAUGGCUGUUGCUUCAUUUUUGAAGAAGACCUGAAACGCAGCUGCCGCUCUCUCUCUCUCUCGGCGUAUAUCUUCGAGCUUCAUGAAGAAGAAGAAGUGAUCAUGGUGGGCUGCUAGGGUUUGACGGAGAAGAUGACCGGGGGGUUAUGUCCAAAAGUUGCGCAGCUGCGCUGAUAUUCUUCCAGGCGUGUAUAUCUCUCGUGUAGUGUUUAUUAUUAUGUGUUAGGGUUUUUAGGUGGGGAAAUGGGUUUGGGUAUUAGGUUGGAUCGGGUCGACCCGGUUUGCGGUUGGGUAGGGGCUAAUUUGUGUGUGAUUUUAAAAUGGGAAAUUGUAUUGGGCUUAAAAAAAUAGAACUAGAUAUCAGCCCAAAAAUAUUAUUCUCAUCUUUAUUUUCAUAUUUCUCUAAAUUCGUUUAAGUUAAAAUUAAAAAUAAC